UUUUGCCAUUUUAUAAUAGUUAAAAAUAUAACAAGUUUUUAAAAUAAAGUCAUAAAAGAGGGCACUACCAUGUCUUGCCGGGGAAAGUUAAGCAACUUGUUGUUGGAUUGUUUGAAUGUGUUAUGUUUAGAAACUAUGCUAAUUCGUUAUUUUCUAUUCUCUUUCAGUUUAGUACAGUGAUGAUAUUCCUUCUGUUGCUGGGUGCUGCUGCUGCACUUGUGAUUUGGAUAGGCUUACAUAAUACAACGGUGAGAGGACAUCUAGAAAGAGAAAUGUUUCAAAAGCUGCAAAAUACAGAUUUUUUUACUUUCGUA